rnacentral:rRNA from 2 species
AUUAAAGCACCUUCGGGUGUGUAUAAAGUGGCGAACGGCUGAGUAACACGUGGGCAACCUGCCCCUCUCAUUGGGAUAGCCACGGGAAACCGUGGAUAAUACCGAAUACUUCGAGACUUCCGCAUGGAAGACUCGAGAAAGCUCCGGCGGAGAGGGAUGGGCCCGCGGCCUGUUAGCUUGUUGGUGGGGUAACGGCCUACCAAGGCAAUGAUGGGUAGCUGGGUUGAGAGACCGACCAGCCAGAUUGGGACUGAGACACGGCCCAGACUCCUACGGGAGGCAGCAGUGGGGAAUCUUGCACAAUGGGCGAAAGCCUGAUGCAGCGACGCCGCGUGCGGGAUGAAGGCCUUCGGGUUGUAAACCGCUUUCAGCAGGGACGAGGCGAAAGUGACGGUACCUGCAGAAGAAGCCCCGGCUAACUACGUGCCAGCAGCCGCGGUAAUACGUAGGGGGCAAGCGUUAUCCGGAUUCAUUGGGCGUAAAGCGCUCGUAGGCGGUCUGUUAGGUCGGGAGUUAAAUCCGGGGGCUCAACCCCCGUUCGCUCCCGAUACCGGCAGACUUGAGUUUGGUAGGGGAAGGUGGAAUUCCUAGUGUAGCGGUGGAAUGCGCAGAUAUUAGGAAGAACACCAGUGGCGAAGGCGGCCUUCUGGGCCAUAACUGACGCUGAGGAGCGAAAGCUAGGGGAGCAAACAGGAUUAGAUACCCUGGUAGUCCUAGCCGUAAACGAUGGACACUAGGUGUGGGGGAAUAUUUCUUCCGUGCCGCAGCUAACGCAUUAAGUGUCCCGCCUGGGGAGUACGGCCGCAAGG